rnacentral:rRNA from 1 species
GAUGAACGCUGGCGGCGUGCCUAAUACAUGCAAGUCGAGCGAACAGACGAGGAGCUUGCUCCUCUGACGUUAGCGGCGGACGGGUGAGUAACACGUGGAUAACCUACCUAUAAGACUGGGAUAACUUCGGGAAACCGGAGCUAAUACCGGAUAAUAUAUUGAACCGCAUGGUUCAAUAGUGAAAGACGGUUUUGCUGUCACUUAUAGAUGGAUCCGCGCCGCAUUAGCUAGUUGGUAAGGUAACGGCUUACCAAGGCGACGAUGCGUAGCCGACCUGAGAGGGUGAUCGGCCACACUGGAACUGAGACACGGUCCAGACUCCUACGGGAGGCAGCAGUAGGGAAUCUUCCGCAAUGGGCGGAAGCCUGACGGAGCAACGCCGCGUGGGUGAUGAAGGUCUUCGGAUCGUAAAACUCUGUUAUUAGGGAAGAAGAAAUGUGUAAGUAACUAUGCACGUCUUGACGGUACCUAAUCAGAAAGCCACGGCUAACUACGUG